rnacentral:tRNA from 1 species
GGCGGCGUAGCUUAGUUGGUUAGAGCGUCCGGUUCAUACCCGGAAGGUCGGUGGUUCGAAUCCACCCGCCGCUACCA